CCUACGGGAGGCAGCAGUGAGGAAUAUUGGUCAAUGGGCGCAAGCCUGAACCUGCCAAGUAGCGUGAAGGAUGACUGCCCUACGGGUUGUAAACCUCUGUUAUAAAGGAACAAAGUGAGGCACGUGUGCCACUUUGUAUGUAGUUUAUGAAUAAGGUGCGGCUAACUCCGUGCCAGCAGCCGCGGUAAUACGGAGGGUGCGAGCGUUAUCCGGAUUUAUUGGGUUUAAAGGGAGCGUAGAUGGGUUGUUAAGUCAGUUGUGAAAGUUUGCGGCUCAACCGUAAAAUUGCAAUUGAUACUGGCAGUCUUGAGUACAGUUGAGGUAGGCGGAAUUCGUGGUGUAGCGGUGAAAUGCUUAGAUAUCGCGAAGAACUCCGAUUGCGAAGGCAGGUUCCUAGACUGCCACUGACAUUGAUGCUCGAAAGUGUGGGUAUCGAACAGGAUUAGAUACCCGAGUAGUC
rnacentral:rRNA from 1 species